UGUUGGUGUGAGCUCGGCUCAGUGCAACUUCCACCUCCUGGCUUCCCGGGUAGCUGGGAUUACGGGCACCCACCACCACGCUAGGCUAAUUUUUUAUAUUUUUAGUAGAGACAGGAUUUCACCAUGUUGGUCAGACUGGUCUUAAACUCCUGACCUCAAGUGACCCACACCAGUGUCUCCCAAAGUGCUGGGAUUACAGGUGUGAGCCACUGCACCCGGCCUUCUAAUCUUUUUCCAG
rnacentral:lncRNA from 1 species